UCUAGAUUGUCUAUAGAAUUGUAUUGUUGAAACGUCACUAUCAAUAUUUUCGAAUGGCUUCGUGUAAAUAUCAGUAGGUAGGUAUUACUGCCACAAGAUACGAAUAUGAUUUUUAUUGGUUAGGUACCGAAAAACAUAUUCAAUUUCAAAUUUCAAGUAUUACUUAAGUAAUUGUAAAAGGAACGUGAUUGGGGUGUAGUCGAUGACUGGUGUGCACUUAAUUAAUGAAACAAGCACCAACUCCACCACCACCACCACCAACACCACCAACACCAGCCACCAGCCUCAGCCUCCCGCACCAACUCUUUUUAACAUUAUUAACUUUCUCAUAUUCCAUAAAAUAUUCCAUUACAGUUUGUCUGGACGAGAUCAGCAAUGAGACCGUGUCUGCCAUAUACCAUAUAUGUGUGUUUAUUAACCAAUUGUUUUACGUAAUGUUUCUUUUAUCGAAGUGUAUCCGGACCCGGACCCGGACCCGGGUGCUUCCUUAAACUACGUCCAAAAGAGAGGUAUGGGCAUUGUGAAUGUCAUCUCGCUUUGUGUGGUAGGGCACAGCACAGCGGAUGUCAUUCAAGAUCUAGAGCGGAGCCCAACUGGGGAAGUACCUCCACCUUACAGAAAACCGCAACCAGACCCUACUCAUAGUGUUGUGUUCCUACCGGUGAGUAAGGUUGCCAGAGCUCAACGCCCCCCUCGUUGAGCUGUAAUGUAUGUAAGGGUCGGCAAAGCGCAUGUGACUCAUCUAGAGUUGCAGGCGUACAUAGGUUAUGGAGACUACUUACCAUCAGGCGGGCCGUAUACUUUUUUGCCACCGACGUAAUAUAUAAAAAAAAGUAUGCAAUAAAGAAUAGAGGCCAAUUUGUUCGUACAUUUUGGCAACAUAAUGAUAUAUAAAUUCGCGCGUACAUUUAAGAUGAUGACAAAAUGAAAUCAUUUAGAUAUCACUUUGAUGUCAACAUCUACUCUCUAGAUAUUCUGUCAGGUAGGUACCUUCAUUAUUCAUAGACCUCGAAUGGUAUAGAAUAUAGAUUAACUAUGAAAGCCUUUGCACCCCGGCUCAAUGGUCCCUGCAGGGUGCCGCGGGGUGCCGCAGGGCGCCCUGCUCGGGCCCAGGCCUUAGAUGCGCAGAUAACCGUUACGGUCAAUAGGGUGGUGCCACAGACAUAUUUUGUAAAAAAAAUACUAAGCUUACUGUUACACUUGUGGAGACAGCGCGCUUGGAAACAGCACCUUAUACUGUAGAGAUAAGGUUGCAGUUUAACUUUGAUCUAAAAUGCAACUGAAGUAAUAACUUUGUUAGUAUUGUACGGCAAACUUAAGUGUACGGUUGUGUAAUUGAAUAAACUCUAAUAUGAACCUUGUAUUGUUAAGUAAAAAGUCGAUUUUUUUGCAAGUUUCGUUUGUAGCGGCAAAAGUAAGUUGGUUUCUGGUAAUUUCGGGGAGUGGGGCGCUAUCGCCAUCUAUUUACUAAUGACUUCCUGCGUCAGGUGCUUAUUUCUACAUUUGUUUGCUAACGGACUCCUUUGUUGAUGGAAUUUCUUUGCGUCGCUCGGUAAGUCAAUAAUAUGACAGCUACACGCUGUGUGUAAUUAUGUAUUACAUAACAUGAAGCUUCGUGAUGGAGAUCAUCUGAUACGUACAAAUUAAUUAUGGAUAGACUAUGUUUACUAAUAGCUCUGGUUAAGGUAGGAAUCUAUAAAGGUAUGUCGUCUUGAUUAUGUCAUUUUUAAAUAGGUAAUUACUACAAGUUUCUUAUAAUGUAUAGCGAUAUAAAAACGAGUCACAUAAAUUAUUACGUGAAUAACCGUGAUUCUCAUACUGAGAGACCUGUUUUCAUUGCUCUUUAGUGUUAUUAAAUGUCAGUAUCAGCAGAAUAAUACCUAUGCAAUUUUAAUAAGUAUUAGAAUGGCUCUCACUAAUGUCUAAUAGGUAAUCUAACACUAAAACUGUGGAAUGAACUGUCGCAUGCGGUAUUUCCGGACCGAUAUGUCCUUCAAAUCUUCAAGAAAAGAGCGUACUCCCAUCUUAAAUGCCGGCAACGCACUUAUAACCCCUCUGGUGUUGCAGGUGUCCAUGCCCGGCGGUAAUCGCUUACCAUCAGGUGAUCCGUCUGCUCGUUUGCCUCCUGUAUAAUAAAAAAAAACAAGUCAAACAUGAAGAGCAAUGUAGAAUUACAUUUCAUAUUACAGAUUUAUAAACGGGCAAAUAGAUACUCCAAAAUGUCACAUAACCUAAUGUCACCCAGUAGGUAAUAAAUCUUCCUCUUGCUAUCUCCCCCACAUUCCGACGCUACAUACAGCCCAAUAUACGAAAACAUCAUAAAAUUUACGACUCGGAAACUAAACCUAUCCAUUACAACCAACCUCAAGUCAAACUCGACCUUAACUUCACAUCACACGGUUGAAAUUAAUUCGCGCUCUUAAGAAGAACUAGGGUAUCGCUUACACAAUCGCUCGCCGCGCCACUUGCAAUAUAAACCCUACGAUAGUAACUAUAGGGUGUGUUUCAGGUUGCGUGGAGUUGUUGAAGAAGUAGGGUAUCGGUUACAUGAUUGGCUGGUGUUGCCCCGCCCCGCGCCCCGGGCUCCACGCAACGACUAGGUACAGGACAGUGUACACCCACAGCUCGGCAUGUACUAGCUACGUGGUACCUACAACUACCCAGCGCCGAGUCACGCAGCAUUGUCGUCGAAACGAGCGGCCUAGGGGCUGUUGAACGACAAAAUAUCGUUAAGUAAUACAGUACUUACAAUACAGACAGUAGUUAAGUACUCAGGUAUCUGUAGAUACCAAACACAUAUCUAUACUUAGAUGUCGGUAACAUACCUACUACUAUACUUAUAGUCGAGCUAAUAAUAUCAAGUAUGUAGAGUCCGCGCCGUGCGGAAAGCGAAGAGUCAUUAGUAUGUGGUGGUGCCCUUAUAUCGCACUCUUCCCUUUCCGCGCAGACUCUUCACUGUUUUCCUGUACCAGGCCAUGCCGCAAAGUCACUUGAUGUUGGCUCUAUUACUAUCUAUACUAGGUAAAACGUACUAUAGUUAAAUGUUACGGUUUAUCAUUCCACAAUAGAUUUAUUUCUUUCAUUUUUAACUAAACUCUCACGGGAUCUAAAGCAUGGAAAUGUUUGAGAAUAGUAGUACCUAAUAAGGGUGACCCAAUAAAUAAGUAGGUACUAAUGAAUAUGAUUAGGCAUGUUGUUUCUCACGGAUAACAAAAAAUCAAGUGGGAAAAAUGUAUUGCAAACAAAAAUUUAAUAUUUUAUAAGACAGGACGAACGUAACAAGUACCUACUCAUAUUAUAGUAAUCAAAUGUGUUAUAGGUAGCGCAUCAACCACACAAGCUAUAUGCCGUGUAAGGCGCCCGACCCGACCCAGUCGGAUCCUCCACAAGGGAGCGAUAACCCGAUAACAUCGCAGCCGUUACCCUCGCCCGCGACCCGUGUCGCUUUAUCGCGACACGACAAUAUUAUGCUCGCCUGUUACGCUACCACCACUAUACCCAUACCACAUGAUAAAUAAAAGUAUUUCAUACCAUAA